AGAGUUUGAUCCUGGCUCAGGACGAACGCUGGCGGCGUGCCUAAUACAUGCAAGUCGAACGAAGCUUUCUUUCACCGAAUGCUUGCAUUCAUCGAAAGAAAGCUUAGUGGCGAACGGGUGAGUAACACGUAGGCAACCUGCCCAAAAGAGGGGGAUAACACUUGGAAACAGGUGCUAAUACCGCAUAACCAUGAACACCGCAUGAUGUUCAUGUAAAAGACGGCUUUUGCUGUCACUUUUGGAUGGGCCUGCGGCGUAUUAACUUGUUGGUGGGGUAACGGCCUACCAAGGUGAUGAUACGUAGCCGAACUGAGAGGUUGAUCGGCCACAUUGGGACUGAGACACGGCCCAAACUCCUACGGGAGGCAGCAGUAGGGAAUCUUCCACAAUGGACGAAAGUCUGAUGGAGCAACGCCGCGUGAAUGAAGAAGGCCUUCGGGUCGUAAAAUUCUGUUGUCAGAGAAGAACGUGCGUGAGAGUAACUGUUCACGUAUUGACGGUAUCUGACCAGAAAGCCACGGCUAACUACGUGCCAGCAGCCGCGGUAAUACGUAGGUGGCGAGCGUUGUCCGGAUUUAUUGGGCGUAAAGGGAACGCAGGCGGUCUUUUAAGUCUGAUGUGAAAGCCUUCGGCUUAACCGAAGUAGUGCAUUGGAAACUGGAAGACUUGAGUGCAGAAGAGGAGAGUGGAACUCCAUGUGUAGCGGUGAAAUGCGUAGAUAUAUGGAAGAACACCAGUGGCGAAAGCGGCUCUCUGGUCUGUAACUGACGCUGAGGUUCGAAAGCGUGGGUAGCAAACAGGAUUAGAUACCCUGGUAGUCCACGCCGUAAACGAUGAGUGCUAAGUGUUGGAAGGUUUUCCCCCUUCAAGGCUGCAACCUACGCCUUAAGCACUCCCGCCUGGGGGGGUCCGGUGGCAAGGACUGAAACUAAAAGGAAAUGGACGGGGGCCCGCCCAAGCCGUGGGAGCAUGUGGUUUUAAUCGGAAGCAACGCGAAGAACCUUACCCAGGUCUUGACAUCUUCUGACAAUUCCAGAGAUGAAACGUUCCCUUCGGGGACAGAAUGACAGGUGGUGCAUGGUUGUCGUCAGCUCGUGUCGUGAGAUGUUGGGUUAAGUCCCGCAACGAGCGCAACCCUUAUUGUCAGUUGCCAUCAUUAAGUUGGGCACUCUGGCGAGACUGCCGGUGACAAACCGGAGGAAGGUGGGGAUGACGUCAAAUCAUCAUGCCCCUUAUGACCUGGGCUACACACGUGCUACAAUGGACGGUACAACGAGUCGCUAACUCGCGAGGGCAAGCUAAUCUCUUAAAGCCGUUCUCAGUUCGGAUUGCAGGCUGCAACUCGCCUGCAUGAAGUCGGAAUCGCUAGUAAUCGCGAAUCAGCAUGUCGCGGUGAAUACGUUCCCGGGCCUUGCACUCACCGCCCGUCA
rnacentral:rRNA from 1 species